CUGGUGCACCCGCACACAAGGCUGCAAGCUGCGCGGCUGUCUCUUUCGCACAGCCACACCCUUACGCCGCACACUUUGGCCGAUGCAUAGCGAAGUGGAGCGAUUGUCGCUAGUCGACCAGCAGUUUCCAGAGGGCGCCGAUGUCGAAGAGGAUCAUCGCGUGCGACACAGUGAGUGCGUAAGCAUGAAUGUGGUCUCCCUGCACGACAUGCUGCGGCAGUUGGGCUGUGCGGGCGAGAGCAGCGGCUUCACAUCCUUUUCUGCGUCUUGCCUGCCACCUGAGAUGGUGGACGCACUACUGCACUACCUGGUGAGGUUGCAGGAAGACGUUCGUCAACUUGAUGCCCGAGCGCAACUUCUUGACGAGCAACGCGCGCGCGACACACGAAAAGCGGAGCUGCUCAACGAGCGAACAGAGAGGCUGAAGGAUGCAGUGGCCAACAUGUCUGCAAAAAGCUCGGCCGAAAUGAAGGAGUUCCGAGAUUACUUGCAGCAGAAUGCGAGCGCCAAUAAGCAGCGCCAACGCGAGCUUGUGGACUUGACUCGCAAGCGCGAGAAGCUGGAGUUGGAGGUGAAGCGUACUAGAAUGGAGAUGGAUCGCCUACGCAAGAUAGCGAAGCGGGUGCGGUGAAGAUGCCAGAGAGAGAGAGUUAGAAGGCGACGCCGUGAAGUCUAGAUAGAGGUGCGCGCGUUGAGGCGUCUCUUGCGCUCUUCCGGUGCCCUAAAGCACUUCCGUGUACUCUUCGGCUUGAACACUUUCUCCCUCUCCCUCUUUUUACUGGUCGGACCGGUGUAGGCGACUAUGCGUUUUUUUUUACCUACCUCUUCGUUCUUAUCGUGGUUGAGCGGUGCUUGUUGCUUAUCUCUUCCACAAACGCAUCUUAAACCGUCUUCAUGGGGUGCUGAAGGGAAGUGCGUGAGAUAUAGGGCAUCGCGCGUCGGAAGGGCUGUUCUCAGCUGUUGUUCUUUUAUAUUGAGAACAGGCACCCCUGUGAUGAACGACGCCGCCUCGUCGCGUUUUACCGCGCACCCAUGACGCAGGCUGGAGGCAUAGAUGCGUGAAAGCCUCAUCUCUUGGCACUGUGAAGUCGUGAGGUAGAGCAGAUACAUUAGAUUUCUCGCGUGUGUUUUUCCUUUUAUUCACCUCGUGUAGAUGCACAUCUCCCUCGCUCACGGAGGGCACUCGCUCACCGACCCACCUAGGAAUGAACUCCACACCAACUUAGCGUUAUGCCGCGCAGGCGAACGUCUCCCACAACGCAAUGGUGGUGGUGGUGGCGCCGACGAUCGCCGCCACGAAAUGUACCCCGGCCUCUCUCUCUCGGCACUUUGGGCAUGCUUUGCCCCACCUAUCUGAAAGAAAGCGAAAACUGCUCACGGGUGCUGCCAGAUCGAAGGAUGGCCUCGUUCUUCCAGCGACGGAUUCGAAUGGCCGCGCUGGAAACGUUUGCUGCGUUUCAUGAAAGCCCUAGAAACUCGGUAUCACGUGUUGCUGCUUUUUUUUUCCUGCUAUCCUCGCGUCAACGCCUCGCCGUCCACGCUGCACUGGACUCCGAAAAAAAUGUUAAAAG
rnacentral:misc_RNA from 1 species